rnacentral:rRNA from 1 species
AUUGAACGCUAGCGGAAGGCUUAAUACAUGCAAGUCGAGCGGUAGGUGGCUUCGGCCAUUGAGAGCGGCGCACGGGUGAGUAACGCGUACAUGACCUGCCUGUCAGAAGGGGAUAGCCCUGGGAAACUGGGAUUAAUACCCUAUGGUAUUGAUAUUAUGAAUGAUAUCAAUUAAAGUUGAGGCGCUGACAGAUGGAUGUGCGUCUGAUUAGCUAGUUGGUAGGGUAACGGCCUACCAAGGCGACGAUCAGUAGGGGGCGUGAGAGCGUGGUCCCCCACACGGGUACUGAGACACGGACCCGACUCCUACGGGAGGCAGCAGUAAGGAAUAUUGGUCAAUGCCCGCAAGGGUGAACCAGCCAUUCCGCGUGGAGGAUGAAGGCCCUAUGGGUUGUAAACUUCUUUUAGAUGGGAAGAAAAUGCUAGAUGUAUCUGGUACUGACGGUACCAUCAGAAUAAGCACCGGCUAACUCCGUGCCAGCCGCCGCCGUAAAAC